UAGGGUAGUGUUAUACUUGAUAUAUAUACUUUUAUAUAGGGUAGUGUUUUACAUUGUCAAAGGUUUUUUGUUUUUAAGCUUGACCAAAACUACUCUAGCUAAACAUAUCUAGCCUAAAAAGCUAUUGUUACCUGAAUUCAAGUCAAAAUAGCUGAAUUCGUGUUGAAAACAAGAAACUGCAUUUGAUCGUUAACAUCUGUCUCAACUUUAUGAGUAGGAACAUACAGUUUGUGCAUUGUUGUAUUCAUUGCUGUUUUUUGUUGGUUUUUUUUUUUUUUUUGCUUAGGUCAAAGAGAGCUAAAACAAAACACUGCUUUUUUUUUUUUAAUUCUAUAAUUCCAAGUUGUAAUCAAAAUCAGAUCUAUCAAACAAAAUAUUUCACUGUACAAAGAAUUCAAAGCUGUUCUAAACUAGCUAUUUUUUUGUGCGCUAAAGAUUAUCACAAAUGUAAUGAGUUGUAUGUUAAGUAGUUGAGUUAUUCUACGCUGCUGACCUGUUAAGUGCCAAUAAAUACAAAUAUAUA